GCCUGGAUAGCUCUGUUGAUUAGAGCAUGGUACUAAUGAUGCCAGGGUUGCAGUUUGGAUCCCUGUAUGGGGCA